rnacentral:rRNA from 1 species
CAGUAGCCGCGGGAAUACGAAGGGGGCUAGCGUUGCUCGGAAUGACUGGGCGUAAAGGGCGCGUAGGCGGUUUUGACAGUCAGAUGUGAAAUUCCUGGGCUUAACCUGGGGGCUGCAUUUGAGACGUCAAGACUAGAGUGUGAGAGAGGGUUGUGGAAUUCCCAGUGUAGAGGUGAAAUUCGUAGAUAUUGGGAAGAGCACCGGUGGCGAAGGCGGCAACCUGGCUCAUUACUGACGCUGAGGCGCGAAAGCGUGGGGAGCAAACAGGAUUAGAUACCCCCGUAGUCCCUGUCUCUUAUAC